UUAGCGGCGGACGGGUGAGUAACACGUGGAUAACCUACCUAUAAGACUGGGAUAACUUCGGGAAACCGGAGCUAAUACCGGAUAAUAUUUUGAACCGCAUGGUUCAAAAGUGAAAGACGGUCUUGCUGUCACUUAUAGAUGGAUCCGCGCUGCAUUAGCUAGUUGGUAAGGUAACGGCUUACCAAGGCAACGAUGCAUAGCCGACCUGAGAGGGUGAUCGGCCACACUGGAACUGAGACACGGUCCAGACUCCUACGGGAGGCAGCAGUAGGGAAUCUUCCGCAAUGGGCGAAAGCCUGACGGAGCAACGCCGCGUGAGUGAUGAAGGUCUUCGGAUCGUAAAACUCUGUUAUUAGGGAAGAACAUAUGUGUAAGUAACUGUGCACAUCUUGACGGUACCUAAUCAGAAAGCCACGGCUAACUACGUGCCAGCAGCCGCGGUAAUACGUAGGUGGCAAGCGUUAUCCGGAAUUAUUGGGCGUAAAGCGCGCGUAGGCGGUUUUUUAAGUCUGAUGUGAAAGCCCACGGCUCAACCGUGGAGGGUCAUUGGAAACUGGAAAACUUGAGUGCAGAAGAGGAAAGUGGAAUUCCAUGUGUAGCGGUGAAAUGCGCAGAGAUAUGGAGGAACACCAGUGGCGAAGGCGACUUUCUGGUCUGUAACUGACGCUGAUGUGCGAAAGCGUGGGGAUCAAACAGGAUUAGAUAC
rnacentral:rRNA from 1 species